GUGGUCAGGAGUGGCAUGUCCUGCCCCCAACCUCUCCCUUGUCUGAUGCUGCCCCUGCCAUGUUCCUGCCCAUGCAGAUCCCCCACAGGGCCGUCCGACCACCAGCAGAGAGGGACUCUCGGUGCCUGUCGUCAUCUGCAUCAUCCUGGGGGCCCUCCUCUGCCUGCUCCUGGCCCUCCUGGCUGGGCAGGUGCGAAGUGCCAGGGCUCGGCGCAGAGGCUCCGGGAGAGCUGGGGAGCCCUUCCCUGAGGCCGUGUACGAGGAGAUCGCUUACAGCCUGGCGUGGGAGAAGCAGGCGAGGUUCAGUCUCUCAGAUGUCCCUGUCCUGCCCGGAGGUUACCCAGCAGAUGGCUAUGAUGAUGCUGGGGAGGUUUCUGACCCUGGGGAGGAUCCUGUCCCU